rnacentral:lncRNA from 1 species
AUGACUAAGUGGCUAUUUUUUAUUGAACGUUUAGGUAGAGGAAGAAGACCCCACUGGAUACAUUUGAUUGAAAAAUUUCUCCCAGUGAUGACCGAAGUACUGCUGGAAAGAAGGAUGUCGUAUGAUGGACAUAAUACACCACACGAAGUCAUGUUCCUACGUGAUGGAGUCCACGUGUGUCCAGCCCUGUGUGUUGCUUCAGACAGCAUUUUGCAACAGGGAAGAUCUCAAAACAUGUUUUUAAACACAUGUUGCUCCCAGUGUGCCAGAGGCAAGUGGCUUCAGCUCGUAUGGGGGAUAUCAGUCCUUGAUAGCUCACCUGCUGGGGGGAGCCUUUUUCUCAGGCGGAAAUGGAAGAAAUGUUGUCUGCUGCAGUUGAUCCAGAAUCGAAUUCAGUUCAUUACAAGGACUACAUAACAAUGAUGGUGACAGAUGAGACUUAACCACUUUAAAGACUUAAUUUCCAAUUGAAAGGAUAAUUUAAAAAAUUGUCCUUGUUAAUUUCACAUUUUAUCUUAUAAUUUCUACAUAUGAUAACUAAUGCUUUGUGACAGCUAUUUCAAUAUAUUUUGUUUUUUAAAGAUGAUCAUAAUAAUUUAAAACUCUUUAAAUAUUUAAACUAUUUAACAUUUUAACUAUUUAAUAUAUAAAGAUUUAAAACUAUUUGAGCUGUUUAAAACAACAAAUAAAAAUUUAUUUGUCUAGCCUCA